AGAGUUUGAUCCUGGCUCAGGACGAACGCUGGCGGCGUGCUUAACACAUGCAAGUCGAACGAGAGCGUAGAGAAAGCUUGCUUUUUCUACAAUCUAGUGGCAAACGGGUGAGUAACGCGUAAACAACCUGCCCUACGGAUGGGGACAACAGCUGGAAACGGCUGCUAAUACCGAAUACGUUCCGAAAGUCGCAUGACUAUCGGAAGAAAGGAUGGCCUCUAUUUAUAAGCUAUCGCCGGAGGAGGGGUUUGCGUCUGAUUAGCUAGUUGGAGGGGUAACGGCCCACCAAGGCGACGAUCAGUAGCCGGUCUGAGAGGAUGAACGGCCACACUGGAACUGAGACACGGUCCAGACUCCUACGGGAGGCAGCAGUGGGGAAUCUUCCGCAAUGGGCGAAAGCCUGACGGAGCAACGCCGCGUGAGUGAAGAAGGUCUUCGGAUCGUAAAGCUCUGUUGUUAGAGAAGAACAGCGCAUAGAGUAACUGUUAUGCGUGUGACGGUAUCUAACCAGAAAGCCACGGCUAACUACGUGCCAGCAGCCGCGGUAAUACGUAGGUGGCAAGCGUUGUCCGGAAUUAUUGGGCGUAAAGGGCGCGCAGGCGGCUUCUUAAGUCUGUCUUAAAAGUGCGGGGCUUAACCCCGUGAUGGGAUGGAAACUGGGAAGCUCAGAGUAUCGGAGAGGAAAGCGGAAUUCCUAGUGUAGCGGUGAAAUGCGUAGAUAUUAGGAGGAACACCAGUGGCGAAAGCGGCUUUCUGGACGAAAACUGACGCUGAGGCGCGAAAGCCAGGGGAGCGAACGGGAUUAGAUACCCCGGUAGUCCUGGCCGUAAACGAUGGGUACUAGGUGUAGGAGGUAUCGACCCCUUCUGUGCCGGAGUUAACGCAAUAAGUACCCCGCCUGGGGAGUACGACCGCAAGGUUGAAACUCAAAGGAAUUGACGGGGGCCCGCACAAGCGGUGGAGUAUGUGGUUUAAUUCGAC
rnacentral:rRNA from 1 species